AGAAGGGGGCGUGGGCGGAUGGGGGCGGAGGAGGGAGCGUCUGCCUAGCUUGGGUAGAGAGGGAAGGUCUCACCUGGCACACAUGUGUGCACAGGCACGCACACACACACACACACACACACACACACACACACACACCUGCACCAUUUCGAGAGAAUAACAGUGCCACCUGCUGGUUCUUUCUGUGCAAAGACGUCUCCACGUGGACCUUCCCUGAGGAGGAGGCGGCCCAGAAAGUGAGCCAAGCCGUGAAUGUGCCUUACAGCGUUCCCGGCAGUGCUCCGGGCCAGAGAGACAAGACUCCGCGCACAGACUCCCUGCGGAAAGUCUGGCUUCUCGGUGUCUUAGAACCCUGGCGUUGUGCUUCUAGCAACAGGCUUGAGGAGCAGAGGUGUGGUCUCUCCAGUAACAGCUCAUCUGGCUCUGUUGUAAUUAAACAAAGUGACAUCCGUCUGCAACACUGAGUCCCCACCCCCAACCCCCACACCCCCAGGCAGGUACCUGCAGGGAGGCUCCUCCCAUAG